rnacentral:lncRNA from 1 species
GAGAAAUUGUAAGAAUUAUUAUUUCCAAUAUGGAAAAGCUUUUUUGCAUUCCUAUCCAUGGGAAGAGGUGCUAUGAGAGGAAAAACCUGUAGUAAUCGUUCAAGAGAUGCCUAGGUUUAUGCAGAACCCAGGAUCCGGAGUGUUGGAACAGCAGCUACUAAUGUGCAUUGUGGCAAGUGGGGAGCAGAAGCAUUUUAUGAAAUGGGAAUUCACUGCUGGGAUAUUGCAGGAGCUGCCAUUAUUGUUACUGAAGUUGGUG